UACGAGGGGGGCGAGCGUUGUUCGGAAUUAUUGGGCGUAAAGGGUGCGUAGGCGGUUCCGCAAGUCCUGUGUGAAAUCUUCGGGCUCAACUCGAAGUCUGCACGGGAAACUGCGGGGCUUGAGUGUGGGAGAGGUGAGUGGAAUUACUGGUGUAGCAGUGAAAUGCGUAGAUAUCAGUAGGAACACCAAUGGCGAAGGCAGCUUGCUGGCAUGUAUCUGACGCUAAGGCACGAAAGCGUGGGGAGCGAACAGG
rnacentral:rRNA from 1 species